ensembl:lncRNA
CUGGUGGCACCUGCUGCUUGUUGUAUUUAGGGCAGGUGCCCUGCCAAGGGGAGCAUUUAGUAGAUGUUUCUGGUGCUUUGGUGGUGACUGGACCUGGUACUCUUCUGGCAAACGUUCCUGAGAGAGGGUUUAAAGCAAAAGUCCAUGUUACCAAAAAAAAACAAAAAAAAACAAAACUGCUAAUAGAGAAGUUUUGUUAGAGUGAAAUAAUUGUGUUCCCAGUGGACAUCUUGGGCUUUAGCUGGUGAUGGAUGGCGUGAAGUCUGCAGCGAUAUGCCUGACUCAUCUAGGAGAGCUACAGCUGCUGCACACAUAUUGGGAACAGAUAGACAAGAAACCAGUGGAAGGUCAAAGAGGAAGAUUUUAAAGAGAGAACAGGCAUCACCUAGGAGAGCCCCAGGAGGAUCUGGACAGGAGACCCCAAGAUGGACUGCAGUGUCAGAGAUGGGAGACAUUGGGAUGCCUUUCCAGCAGCUGUUGGCUAGAAAUAGUCAGAGUGAAGCAUUGCCUCUGCAGUACAUCUUUCAUCUCACAGUUGACCAUCUGUGGAAAGGAUACGAAGUUUGUAAACAGCUCCAUCUUCAGGCAUCAUUCCCUUGUGCUAAAAAAGAAAAAGGCAACAACAGUAUCUGCCACAAGCUUUCGAAGACAUGUUAGCAUUUUAUCACGUAUAGCAAUUUUUAUCACUUAAACCAAUGUAAUGGUCUUGUUUAACCACUUGCCACAUACAUUAAGUUGAAGGAAAAUCACUGGUAUUGGACCACAGCAUCUAACAAAUGAAUUCUGGUAUGGAUCAGUGGCAGAGUAGAUGUAUGACAAGAUUACAUUUCCGUAUAUCUAGGUUAGACUGAAACUGCAUUGCAACCACUAGAAUGUCUUUCUGUCAGCAGACAGACCCCAAAGUGUUCAAGUUGAAUCAAUUUUUAAAAUGUAUGUGUGGCUAAACAAAAAUGAAUGAAGUGGGAAGGGCAGCACUGAGAAAACCUUAGCAUGUAGGAGAUGAAAUAUCUAAAAUCUUGGAGAGGGUGCAUCUCCCAGAAUCAGGCCUGCAGAAUGGCCUUUUGAAUGCCAUUCAGUGUGAGAAUGAAAGAUGUAAUUUUAUAUACUGACAGCAGUGUAAAUGAGGUGCUCCUGGGAUACUGAGGAGAGUAAUUCUGUUGUCCAAUGGUGAUUUUCUUUCCGGUGGCAGUGCCUGAGUAAAC